GGACCCGCACAAGUAGUGGAGCAUGUGGUUUAAUUCGAAGAUACGCGCAGAACCUUACCAACACUUGACAUGUUCGUCGCGACUUUAAGAGAUUAAAGUUUUCGGUUCGGCCGGACGAAACACAGGUGCUGCAUGGCUGUCGUCAGCUCGUGUCGUGAGAUGUUGGGUUAAGUCCCGCAACGAGCGCAACCCUCACUUUUAGUUGCCAUCAUUUAGUUGGGCACUCUGAAAAGAACUGCCAGUGAUAAGCUGGAGGAAGGUGGGGAUGACGUCAAGUCCUCAUGGCCCCUUACGUGUUGGGCUACACACGUGCUACAAUGGUAUUUAACAACAGGAAGCAAGACGGCGACGUU
rnacentral:rRNA from 1 species